rnacentral:rRNA from 1 species
UACGUAGGGGGCUAGCGUUGUCCGGAUUAUUGGGCGUAAAGAGCGUGUAGGCGGCCAGGUAGGUCUGCUGUGAAAACUCGAGGCUUAACCUCGAGAUGUCGGCGGAAACCAUCUGGCUAGAGUCCGGAAGAGGAGAGUGGAAUUCCUGGUGUAGCGGUGAAAUGCGCAGAUAUCAGGAAGAACACCCGUGGCUAAGGCGGCUCUCUAGUACGGUACUGACGCUGAGACGCGAAAGCGUGGGGGAGCGAACAGG